AACAACAAGUCGUUUCAAGGAAUGAAAAUCGAAAAAGGCCAAAAAAAAAAAAAAAAAAGGAGAAGAAAAAAAAAGCUUGAUAGAUCUCAAGCGGAGUAGAGGAAUUUUCGUCCUUAGGCCAUGAUCGGAUCAAGGAUCUUAGCUUCAGCAUCGCUUCUGGUAUUCUCCGGAUAAUUUUUAUGGGUUCAUAUACCCCAGACUCAAGGAAUCACUAAGCUGAUGGCGAAUCCGAUCGCUGAAGAAAAAUUUAUUUCAAUCUAAUCGGCUCGAAGGUGGCCUAAUCACUUUAUCAAAGGUGUACUUCCUCUACCAAUUGACACGGAGAUGGCUUCAAAUACUGCAUCUCACUCUCUGGACGAAGAAGGUUAAAAACCAAAACCAAGGGAAAUUUGAGGAGCAAAUGAACUUCAAAACCUCUACUAGAGGUGAUGGGUAGUUAUAUCCUUCUUAAUUGAUAUAUGAGAGUAUACUGAUUUAGCUGCAAUCCUCAAGUACUCUGUGUUUUGUUCUUUGUCCAAUGUGGGUGCUAUCGUUGGUGCAACUGCUAGUGAUCAGAUCCUAGAAUACACUGGCGAGUAGUCUGAUUACUGCUGCAAUUCCCAUCAUCACUGGAUAUCUUUGCAUAUCAUUUUGCAAAGGAUACUUCUUUUCUUUACAUGUGGAGACUUUUAGAACGCUUUGGCGCUGGGAUUCAUCUCUUACACUAAUUGUUGCAGUUCCGGGAAAAAUCUCUGUGCUAUGGUCCAGCCUCCUGUUGUUGCAUCAAGUUUCCGCUCGUGAGAAAUCUUCAUCUAAGCUUACCCAACUGAGCAAACUUUUGCUAGAGCACAAUACGGCGCGUAAAACUCAGAUCGCUUGCACACAUAAUCUUCAAAGAUUCGUAGCAGAGAAAGCUCAUAGAGAACAGAUGAGAGCCUAGCGGUGAGCCUUACCUUCAACAUUUGCGUUGAGACUACUCUGUUUAUUGGCUAAUAUCGUAGCUAACUGUUGUGGCUGGACUUCUUUGCGAUACCAUGGACGAUUGUAUCCUCAAAACUUUUGGAGGAGGAGUUGCUGAUUUGGUCAAAGGGUAAGGAACAAAAAAUCUAUGACGCUGUUUGAUUGAGACUCUUGAUUUGGAAACUGUGUUGCCUAGCUAAUAGGUUUGAUGUUCAGUUUAAUACACCAGGAAAAAAGUCUUUAGGUACGUUAUAUCACAUUAAUACUAUAGUGUACUAAUGUGAAGCUGAAUGCCAAUGCUCAGACCUCCUGAUAACAGUACUAGCACUGGAAAGCAGAUCUAGAUAUCUAGAUCACUUACACUGUUUUGUUUUGAUCGUACCAAAAAGCAUGAGAACCCAUGAAAAAGCUAGCAGUUAAGAGUGUCUAGCUAGGUAGCUCAACAUAUCUAAGAAUUAUUGGGGGACUCUUAGGUAGUGAACUAAGUGACAGUCUGGAUGAAGCCCCCUUCUCCUGAUAACCCUCUUAGUGAAGACGAAGCCAUUAACGGGAGCCAUCUGGCUCUCAGUGUAAUUAAACCAUAUAGCCCCAGCCCGCUGCCAAGAAAACAGAGAGAAGCAAGGGAUAUCGCCGUUCGGAGUAAGUGGGAAGUCAGUGAAGAACUCAAACAAACCAUCAACAUCCUCUGCAGUCAGCCAGGCGAGCCUUGACCAGGCUAAGAUAUUGUUCAAGCGGUGUCCACCUGACAACAAAGGGAAUAGUCAAACAAACCCUAAACUGAAGAAUUAGGGUUUAGAGAUGGUUUUUUAAAUUCUUAUAAAACCGAAUUAGGGUAUUGCGGCAGUAAUGAUCUGUCUAUUUCAUAUUUCUGAAUCUGAUACACAAUCACUCACUAAAUUAGGGUUUAUAGAUGGUUCUAAGAUUCUUGUAAACAGGAUUAGGGUUUUGCGGCAGUAAUGAUCAGUCAAUUUCAUAGUUUCCCAAUCUAGUACACAAUCACUCGCUAAAUUAGGGUUUAUGGAUGGAUUAUAGAUUCUUGUAAAACAGAAUUAGGGUUUUGCGCCAAGUAAUGAUUUGUCAAUUUCGGUGUUUCCGAAUCUGAAACA